GUUCGGCAACAGAUGCCGGAACAUGAUGGUGGCGUUCGAGACACCCAGCGCCCGCGCCGCCUGAAUGUACUCGAAGUUGCGCCCGCGCAGGAACUCCGCGCGCACGAGGCCUACCAGCGACACCCAGGAGAACAGCAAAAGAAUUCCAAGCAACACGAAGAAGCCGGGCACCAGCACCGAUGACAGGAUCAAGAGCAGAUACAGCGACGGAAUCGCGGUCCACACUUCGAUGAAGCGCUGGAAACCAAGAUCGACCCAUCCGCCGAAAUAGCCCUGCACACCGCCGGCCGCGAUGCCGAUCACGGAGGAAAUGAUCGUCAGCGUGAGGCCGAACA
rnacentral:misc_RNA from 1 species